rnacentral:rRNA from 1 species
UCAAGGUAAAAGGCUAGAUAGCGCAGGACACACAGAGAGUGUGUCUCUCUGAAUCUGCUAACGGCUCCGCAAACCAGUUGUAAACCAUAGCAAGCUUGCACGGGUCGGGUUCCAACCUGGCCCGGGCGAUACGGAUAACCCUGGUAAUUCUGAGGCUAAUACGUGUAUGUAAAACCUGGUGGACCGGUGAAAACUGGUAAACUGGGGGACGAGUGAUUGAUUGCUUGGGUUAACCGGGAAUGGGCGCUCGCCUUGACCGCGCUACAAAGGAGGCUCCUCACGGGGACUCCCAGCGGCUCUUGCGCGGUGCUUCUGACCUAUCAACUAGAUGGCAGCGUAAGGGACAUGCUAUGGUGACAACGGGUACAGAGGAUUAGGGUUCGAUCCUGGAGAGUGGGCCUGAGAGAUUGCUCAUACUUCUAAGGAAGGCAGCAGGCGCGCAACGUUCCCCUUGGGCAAAGCUCGAGGGCGUUAGGGGACAUAUGAAUGCCUGCCCAACGGGUGGGCAAUUCAAAUGGGUCUGUUGUAAACAGGCUCUCGAGUAACAAUUAGAGGACAAGUCUGGUGCCAGCACCCGCGGUAAUUCCAGCUCUAAGAGCAUACGUUAAAGUUGUUGCAGUUAAAACGCUCGUAGUCGGCGCAAGACCGGAAGAGACUCCCGUAGGCCAAGGCGAUGUGCUCAACGUGCUGAACCGACGAGCUGCGGCGGGGGUGGGCAACGGUCGUUCGUGCCACUGGCUGUAUCUUACGAUUCACAGGGCUGGGUGCGCUGGUUAACUCCGGUUCCCUGGCUCGGCUGGUGGUGCCGAAUGCCACGAUUAAACUAGCGCGAUCAAACCAGGUCGAAAGACCUUGAAUAGCAUAGCAUGGCAUAUGUUCGCCGGCCGAGCCCUACCAAGCAGGGGCUGAGCCGGCAAACGCGAAAGGGGUGGUCGAGGGCGACCGAAUUGCCGGGCGAGUGGUGAAAUACGUUGACCCUGGCAAGUCGAUCUAAGGCGAAAGCAGUCGUCAAGGCCAUUCCCGUUGAUCAAGAGCGAAAGUUAAGGGUUCGAAGACGAUCAGAUACCGUCGUAGUCUUAACUAUAAAUGAUACUGGCCAGGGACAGGAUUUCGAUGUCUGUCUCGUCUCCUUUUGGACCUUUGAGAAAUUGGAAUGUUUUUCCUGCCGGGUCUGAUCGAAACUGCUCAGUGCCUCGGAGU